CAAUCAAACCGGGAGAUAGCUGGUUCUCCCCGAAAGCUAUUUAGGUAGCGCCUCGUGAAUUCAUCUCCGGGGGUAGAGCACUGUUUCGGCUAGGGGGCCAUCCCGGCUUACCAACCCGAUGCAAACUGCGAAUACCGGAGAAUGUUAUCACGGGAGACACACGGCGGGUGCUAACGUCCGUCGUGAAGAGGGAAACAACCCAGACCGCCAGCUAAGGUCCCAAAGUCAUGGUUAAGUGGGAAACGAUGUGGGAAGGCCCAGACAGCCAGGAUGUUGGCUUAGAAGCAGCCAUCAUUUAAAGAAAGCGUAAUAGCUCACUGGUCGAGUCGGCCUGCGCGGAAGAUGUAACGGGGCUAAACCAUGCACCGAAGCUGCGGCAGCGAACGUAUCACCCAAGACAACUUUACGGAGUUGACGAUUGACGGAGCGAAGCGACGUCAAAGCGUUCAUUAAAGUCGAGUUGGCUUAGGGAUACGUUCGUUGGGUAGGGGAGCGUUCUGUAAGCCUGUGAAGGUGUGUCGUGAGGCAUGCUGGAGGUAUCAGAAGUGCG
rnacentral:rRNA from 2 species